GGCUCCGGAUGCGCAGGCUCAGCGGCCAUGGCUCACAGGCCCAGCCGCUCCGCGGCAUGUGGGAUCAUCCCGGACCGGGGCACGAACCCGCGUCCCCUGCAUCGGCAGGCGGACUCUCAACCACUGUGCCACCAGGGGAGCCCUAAGCUCCACUUCUUGAAGGCUGGAGAUGUUCAGCAUUUGAUAAUUUCAGAAACGGUUGCAUUUAACUUCUUGGAAGACCAGCUAAUUCUCCAUUGUUUGUGCUAUUGGAGAGCUGUAGUAGUCAAACACAAAAUUAUCCUCUAGGUCCCAGCUUCUCAAGGUGUGGUCUUCGGGCUGGCAGGCUGGGCAUCCCCGAAGCUGGUUCAAAAUGCAGAAGCUCAGGUCCACCUCAGACUGCCUGAAUCAGAGGCUUAUUGUAACAAUAUCUGCGGGUAAUCCGUGUGCUGCUAAGGCUGGAAAAGGCCUGCUCUAGGUGACACGACACCAUUCAUCCUUGUGUGCCUGUCAUAUUUCCUGAAAACAUAUGAUCCCAUCUCUGGAGUAGGAUCAGCAUUAAGCCCACUCUCCGUGUCUGAAUAACACAAACAAGCUGACAACAUGUAAGAACCAUUUAAUGUGUUUUCCUUUGGUUGGCUAAUCUUUGGUACGACAUCAGGGCAGACUACGUAUUUUCACACUUUGGCGUCAGCAGCA